UUAUCAUUACAAUGCCCCCGCUUUCAUUCUAUCAGCCCGGCCCCUCUCGCAAAUAUAUCUCAGUGAGGAGACGAGGGCAGGUGGAAGAAGAGGGAUCCCUAAAAUUGAAGCGUCGGCAAAGAUGGCGAGUUGUACAUCGGCUUUAAACGCCAAAUCUCUGAGUUGCAUCAGCCCUGUCCGUUGCCCUUCUCAAGCAGGUGAUUAUAAGGAGGGAUAUCUUAUUGGCAUCGAAGUACCUGAUGAUAUUUGGUUCCCUGCAUUGGCUCGUCCAGCAUACCCGCUCCAAAGAUACAACGACGCAUAUGCCGACCUGAGCUUGUACGGUAAACACUUUAGCCUUAAAAGAAGAAGACAUCGAGUUUCUUCGCAAGAUUGUGACUGUUCGUUCAUCCUUCUCAUUAGAAUGCUCUGUGCAGUGUCUCUGACUGUCGAAAUCUGAUAUGACUGCAUCAAGUUUUAGUUCCUAUUGAAGUUGCUGCUCGACAAGAUGGGCCUAUCGAAAACAAAAAAGGCUCCUUAAUGGGCCUCCAAACUGUGAGCAGUGGCCUUCGUGUCAAUCAAUCACCACUCUAACUCGAUCCAUAAUGACGGGAAGGAAUGGCAAGAUCGUUGACCAAUCAAUCAAUGCAACUGAGAAAAUAUACUUACUGUGACAGCUCCUCAAGUCCCAUCCAUGUCUCGACGGGUCUCGCCGAUCCACAAGCCAAGCUACCCAUUGGGGCGGACGUCCCCCUCAUCGAGUCUGUGCCAACCUAUCCAACUCGGGACCAUAUCCGUGCGUUAGAUUGUCACUCUGUCGACAGCAAGGAGGACGGUACCACCGCACGACGGGCAUGGCCGACCCAUGCGGCAAAUGUUAGGCGUGCGUCACUCGAGUUCGCAGUGUCGACGUAAUUAUCGGCGCGUGUUGGGAUGGAUAGUUAACGGAGCGGUAAUUUGAGGAGACGAAAUCCAAUGGGAAGCCUCCCAUGCUUUGUGGAGGCAAUGCCAACCGGCGUCCACGAGGAUGGUGGUCCUUCUUCUCCCCAUGUGACCUGCGCGAGCCAAGUUUUCGGGAAAUGGACCACCAGAUCCGGGCCUCGAUUCAUUAGUGCCAUUUAUUGGUCCGGACAAGGCCAUUGGAUCGGGCCCAUUUACAAGGAAACAUACGUGCGUGUCUUCGUCAGACGUCACUCUCUUUGCCCCUUUGGUCAUGUUACCAUGUACCCCCGCCUUCCCUUCCUCGUCUCCACUCCGCCUCUCGCCCACCACCUGUUUGAUGCCAGGCACUGUUACCCCCCUCUGCUGGGCAGUCCAUCUCCUGGGCCUCCUGCAGUGUCAUCGGUUGAAUGUGUGCAUGCAUUCCAACAAACAUCUUGGGUGCAUCUUUUUUGAGCUGGUCACAUCAGUUAAAGAUUUCAAAAGAUGCAGAGUUCAUUGUGCAAUCUAUAUGAUCCAGAUGCUCCUCACCUCAAGUACUACCAUAGAGGACUAGCUGCCAGCAUCCACAUCAGGGAAAAAUACUUAUCUGACUCAUCUCUUUUUGGUGUUCCCAGACAUGGUUUUGGAUCCAUUCCAAGUUCCAAGGACUCAUUUUCAUGUCUGAGUUGAUGCUCUUUCAUCUGUCUUCACAUGUACUAGUGCAAGGUUUUGGGUAUUUGGGUUUGGUCAUGUUGAGAUAUCAUGAGGUUCUGGUACUUCACCUCUUAUCCUGGGUAGGUCUGUGGUACUUGCUGCCCUCAAGGUUUCACCCCUCUUGACCAUGGCACCAAACCAUGCUUUGGCACGGGCCCCUCUGUCAACCUCGGAGGAAAGUAGCCAUCAUGGGCCUGAGUACAUGAGCUCAACAGGAAGACAUGAUCGGAGAGCACAUAGCAUGUGUGGGGGUGACAUGUUAUGCCAAUUUGAGGAAAUGGAACAGUGUGCACAUACAGUAUAUGUUACGACGCACACACGCAGCAGAUGGCUUCGAGUGGAGGAGAUUGUGUUCUCUGUGGUUGAUUCCUUGGUGAACUGUUCGAAAGCUAAUGCCUUCACUGAGGCUUGAUGUCUAACCCACUCCAGACACAUCCACACCAUCAUGAGGUAUGAUGUCCAAGAAACUGAUGUGAGCAAAGGCAAAGAAAGAAGAACAGGCAAAAAAAACGCCUUCAAGAUCUACCAUAGAAAGACAACCGAAUGCAUAGGUUGCAUGUGAGAUGCAUAAUGGUGAGGGAUGAUGCUGUCCUCUCCAUCUAGCUCCUCUGCUAUGCCAACAUCUAGGAAUGGCAGUCAUAUGCCACCCCUAUCUAUGACUCUACCUGGGAUGAUACAAUGUUUUCUUUUUCUUUUCUACCUGUUUUGUUUCUCCAUUUUAUUCGUUAUGAUUAUAAGUCCAUCCAUGAAAACUGGACAUAUGACA